GAUGAACGCUAGCGGCAGGCCUAACACAUGCAAGUCGAGGGGCAGCACAGAAACAGCAAUGUUUUGGUGGCGACCGGCGGACGGGUGCGUAACGCGUAUGCAACCUACCUUUAACAGGGGGAUAACGGAGAGAAAUUUCCACUAAUACCCCAUAACAUCGAUCAAGGCAUCUUGAUUGGUUGAAAACUCCGGUGGUUAAAGAUGGGCAUGCAUUGUAUUAGGUAGUUGGUGAGGUAAUGGCUCACCAAGCCUACGAUACAUAGGGGGACUGAGAGGUUAGCCCCCCACACUGGUACUGAGACACGGACCAGACUCCUGCGGGAGGCAGCAGUGAGGAAUAUUGGUCAAUGGGGGCAACCCUGAACCAGCCAUGCCGCGUGCAGGAAGACGGCUCUAUGAGUUGUAAACUGCUUUUAAACAGGGAUAAAGCACUGUAUGUAUAUUGUGUUGAAGGUACUGUAAGAAUAAGGAUCGGCUAACUCCGUGCCAGCCGCCGCGGUAA
rnacentral:rRNA from 1 species